rnacentral:rRNA from 1 species
AUUGAACGCUGGCGGCAGGCCUAACACAUGCAAGUCGAGCGGCAGCGGGAAAGUAGCUUGCUACUUUUGCCGGCGAGCGGCGGACGGGUGAGUAAUGCCUGGGAAAUUGCCCAGUCGAGGGGGAUAACAGUUGGAAACGACUGCUAAUACCGCAUACGCCCUACGGGGGAAAGCAGGGGACCUUCGGGCCUUGCGCGAUUGGAUAUGCCCAGGUGGGAUUAGCUAGUUGGUGAGGUAAUGGCUCACCAAGGCGACGAUCCCUAGCUGGUCUGGGAGGAUGAUCAGCCACACUGGAACUGGGACACGGUCCAGACUCCUACGGGAGGCAGCAGUGGGGAAUAGUGCACAAUGGGGGAAACCCUGAUGCAGCCAUGCCGCGUGUGUGAAGAAGGCCUUCGGGUUGUAAAGCACUUUCAGCGAGGAGGAAAGGUUGAUGCCUAAUACGUAUCAACUGUGACGUUACUCGCAGAAGAAGCACCGGCUAACUCCGUGCCAGCAGCCGCCGUAAGAC